CAGUAAAGGCACCUGUGGGAGUAAGGUGCCCCAGGUGUCUGUCAUCAGGGAACUUCCUGCUGGACCCUGGAUGGCAAGGCUACGAAUGUCUCCUGAGACCUGGCUUCAGGGAACUGGCAACUAGAACAGGAUGGACCUUGGCAUCCCUGCGAAUCUCUGAGAAAUCCCCGCUGGGGCUCUGUCCAAUCCCACAAUUCCCAAACUCUGGUAAUGAGUCACAGCAGCUGUUGCCUGCGCGGUUCACUCCUGCACACCUGCCCACAAGCAUCCAAGCCCAUACCCACUGUUGGCUUGAGGCCUGACUGUGCUUACCAUGCCAUCUUCCUGGGGCAGCUUUUCUGUGCACGGAUCCGUCGAUGAGGAAACUGAGAUGCUUAAAGGCUAAGUGACCUUGCAUGAACUCCAAGGAUUGGUUAGUUGCAGCACCUGACACAACACUUGAAGUACCCAGAGUCCUUGACCAGACCUUCCCUUCAGCCAGGAGGCUUCAGCCUAAAGAACAGCAUUCUCCACCUCUUGCGGGGACAGUCCAGAUUGGAGAGACCAGCUUCCAGAUAUCCUAACAGUCAGAAGUGGAUUGAAAAGAAACAAUCAUAGGAAAAGGAACAAAGAAAGCAUUAAAAAUUAUAACAUUCAACUUUAUAGAACUCUGCAUGUUUGUGAAGGUGUACAUGAACAUUGUUCUUCAUUAUUCUUCAAUGACAUGGCAAGAUAGAACUUCAGAACAAAUCAUAUUGUAUAGACAGGGCAGUAUAGGGAACAAAUACAGGGCUUUCUCUGAAUACCAGUGAGUUAGUAGGUGAACAGAUACGAAACAAGAACACUUAGAACAAGAACACAC